AUGAAAUGGCUUGGUGUUAAAGCUGAGCUAGAACCUUCAUUAGUAGAAGAUGCGAUCAAUACUGCAUCUCUUUAUUCUUAUACCCCUAAAGCUAAAGAUAUUGAAGACCUUGAGUUGAAGCUUGCUUAUAAAUUUUCUAUUAAGGGACUGCUUUUAGAAGCUAUAACACACGCUACUGUGCAAGAGCUGGAGGCUGGGUACAGUUAUCAGAGGCUUGAAUUUCUUGGCGACUCAGUACUGGACAUUCUCGUUACCUGGUACCUUUACCAGAAGCACAAAGAUAUUGAUCCUGGGGAACUAACAGAUCUGCGUUCUGCUUCUGUCAAUAAUGAUAAUUUCGCUUAUGCUGCUGUGAGAAGGAAUCUUCAUGUCCACCUUCAACAUCAUUCUGGAUGUCUUGAAAGUGAAAUAUCAUUAUUUGUGAAGUCAGUCUCUAAUUCCGAUUCACUCCAAGGAAACAAAGCCCCAAAGGUACUUGGAGACUUGGUGGAGAGUAUUGCUGGAGCAGUACUUAUUGAUACCAAGCUUAACCUGGAUGAAGUUUG
rnacentral:misc_RNA from 1 species